GACGAACGCUGGCGGCGUGCCUAAUACAUGCAAGUUGAGCGCUGAAGGUUGGUACUUGUACCAACUGGAUGAGCAGCGAACGGGUGAGUAACGCGUGGGGAAUCUGCCUUUGAGCGGGGGACAACAUUUGGAAACGAAUGCUAAUACCGCAUAAAAACUUUAAACACAAGUUUUAAGUUUGAAAGAUGCAAUUGCAUCACUCAAAGAUGAUCCCGCGUUGUAUUAGCUAGUUGGUGAGGUAAAGGCUCACCAAGGCGAUGAUACAUAGCCGACCUGAGAGGGUGAGCGGCCACAUUGGGACUGAGACACGGCCCACACUCCUACGGGAGGCAGCAGUAGGGAAUCUUCGGCAAUGGACGAAAGUCUGACCGAGCAACGCCGCGUGAGUGAAGAAGGUUUUCGGAUCGUAAAACUCUGUUGGUAGAGAAGAACGUUGGUGAGAGUGGAAAGCUCAUCAAGUGACGGUAACUACCCAGAAAGGGACGGCUAACUACGUG
rnacentral:rRNA from 1 species